rnacentral:rRNA from 1 species
GACGAACGCUGGCGGCGGGCUUAACACAUGCAAGUCGAACGGAAAGGCCCUGCUUGUGUGGGGUGCUCGAGUGGCGAACGGGUGAGUAACACGUGAGUAACCUGCCCUGGACUUGGGGAUAACUUCAGGAAACUGGUGCUAAUACCGGAUAGGAGCUCCUGCUGCAGGGUGGGGGUCGGAAAGUUUCGGCGGUUGGGGAUGGACGCGCGGCUUAUCAGCUUGUUGGUGGGGUAGUGGCUUACCAAGGCUUUGAAGGGUAGCCGGCCUGAGAGGGUGACCGGCCACAUUGGGACUGAGAUACGGACCAGACUCCUACAGGAGGCAGCAGUGGGGAAUAUUGCACAAUGGGCGGAAGCCUGAUGCAGCAACGCCGCGUGCGGGAUGACGGCCUUCGGGUUGUAAACCGCUUUCGCCUGUGACGAAGCGUGAGUGACGGUAAUGGGUAAAGAAGCACCGGCUAACUACGUG